GAACUGUCACGACUGGUCACGACUCACGGUGGGUCGACGUUACACCGACUGUUUCUGAUAUAAUAUAUUGUUGAUGUAUUGUUAAAAUCUUGCGAUUGCGAUGUCAUCGGCGUAUUUAACCGGAGGUAGAUUAAAUGUGGGCCUCAUACAAGAACAAGCGAGGAAACAAUUGCUCUGCCUAUUAGAAAAAUGCGAUGGUUCAAAGGCUAUUAUAUGGGAUCAAUCAUUGGCUGGACCGAUUGGUCUUGUAGCGAAAUAUAAUUCAUUGGAGGAGUAUGGUGUUGUGAAAAUGUAUCCAUUGCAUGGUGGAACUUUGAUGAUACCAUCCAACAUAGCCAAUGUCAUAUUUAUCUCGAGACCGCAAUUAGAACUUAUGGAUCUGAUAGCUGAGAAUGUUCAUGGAGAAGAAGGCAAAAGGCCACGUAAAGAGUUUCACUUAUUUUUUGUACCACGCAAGAGCCUACUUUGUCAAAAGAAACUUCAGAAUCGUGGUGUAUUUGGCAGCUUUACCCUAAUAGAGGAGUUUAAGUGUGACCUUUUUCCAUUUGACAAUGAUCUAUUAUCGAUGGAACUGAGUGGCUCUUUUAAAGAGUUCCAUUUAGAAAAUGAUCCUACCUGUUUGUAUCAAGUUGCACAAGCUAUACAAGGUUUACAGAGGUUAUAUGGGAAAAUCUCAAAAAUUACGGGAAGAGGACCAGCAGCUAGCAAAGUCUGGGAAUUAUUAGAGAGAUUAAGCAAAGAAGAAGAAGACAUUAAAGUUGCUCCUGGCUCAUCCGUCGCAAUCGAACAUUUGUUAUUAUUGGAUCGAUCCAUAGACUUGCUUUCACCCUUGGUCACACAACUAACUUACGAGGGUUUAAUUGAUGAAAUAUUUGGAAUAAAAUACAAUACUGUACAAUUACCUGCAAAAGAGUUUCAUGACUCGGAUGACUCUCCCACAGCAAUGUCUCUAAAUGAGAAAGAACAAAUUAUAUUGAAUUCGGGAGAAGAAUUAUUUGCUGAAAUCAGAGAUAAAAACUUUAAUGGCGUUGGUCCAGUUCUUAACAGGAAAGCUAAGGUGAUCUUAUCUCAGUUUGAUGAAAGGCAUGGAGACAAAAGUGUGCAAGAAAUUAAACAGUUUGUUGCUAGAUUACCACACAUGCUAGCGACGAAGCAAUCAUUAGCAAGGCACACUACCAUUGCGAAAAUGAUAAAGGAAAUUACCGAUUCGAGUGAUUUUUUGGAAUCGUUACAAGUCGAGCAAGAACUGUUAAAUUGUAUCGACACGGACAAACCAAAUGCGUAUAUCGAAGAUUUGAUAGCGCAACAACAACCUUUACUCAAAGUUUUACGUCUCCUUUGCAUACAAUCGUUGACAAAUUCUGGUUUAAAGCCAAAGUUACUAGAUUAUUACAAGAGAGAGAUAAUUCAUACUUAUGGAUUUCAACAUUUGCCAACGAUAUUAAAUUUAGAAAAGGCUGGCUUACUGAAACAGCAACAAUCAGUGCGGCAAUAUGCAGUUCUGAGAAAAACAUUGAGGCUCACGGUCGAGGACGAGAGUGAAAUAGCACCGAAAGAUAUCAGUUACGUACAUUCUAUAUAUGCGCCGUUGAGUGUGAGAUUGGCGGAGCAAUUGGUACAACCAAAUGGAUGGCAAGGAUUGAACGAUGUAAUGGGGUUACUACCAGGCCCUACCGUAAGCAGCGUUCCGUACAACGUAUCUUCGUUAGCAAGACUUUUUAUUACCAGGCAAUUCCAUCACCAGUGAAGAUUCCAAUUCUGAGCCACCGAAAUUAAUCAUGGUAUUUUUUAUCGGAGGAUGUACGUUUGCCGAGAUAUCUGCCCUCCGGUUUCUCUCACAACAAGAAGACUCAAAUGUGGAGUUUGUCGUGGGAACCACCAAAUUAAUUAACGGUGAUACGUUUCUCUCUUCUUUGAUGGAACAUCUAGAGCAUACGUGAGAGGCCUGCAUGCAUCAAAAUGUCAAAAUUUAAACAUUUUAUAAUUUCCAUACAUGUAAUGUGAUUAUGCAAUAGGAAUAAGGUAAAACUCGUAUGUAAAUAGUGUAUUUUAUUUCAUAUCUUAUAUUUAUUCAAUUAUGUAUUUAUACUAUAUAUAAUACUAAAAAAUAUAUAUGUA